GAGUUUGAUCGUGGCUCAGAGUGAACGCUGGCGGUAGGCCUAACACAUGCAAGUCGAACGGUAACAGGUCUUUCGGGAUGCUGACGAGUGGCGGACGGGUGAGGAAUACAUCGGAAUCUGCUCAGUCGUGGGGGAUAACGCAUGGAAACGUGCGCUAAUACCGCAUACGACCUUCGGGUGAAAGCAGGGGAAUCUCUCGGGAUCCUUGCGCGAUUGAAUGAGCCGAUGUCGGAUUAGCUAGUUGGUAGGGUAAAAGCCUACCAAGGCCACGAUCCGUAGCUGGUCUGAGAGGAUGAUCAGCCACACUGGGACUGAGACACGGCCCAGACUCCUGCGGGAGGCAGCAGUGGGGAAUAUUGGACAAUGGGGGCAACCCUGAUCCAGCCAUACCGCGUGGGUGAAGAAGGCCUUCUGGGUUGUAAAGCCCUUUUGUUGGGGAAGAAAAACAACGGGUUAAUACCCCGUUGGUAUGACGGUACCCAAAGAAUAAGCACCGGCUAACUUCGUGCCAGCAGCCGCGGUAAUACGAAGGGUGCAAGCGUUACUCGGAAUUACUGGGCGUAAAGGGUGCGUAGGUGGUUGCGCCAGUCUGUCGUGAAAGCCCUGGGCUUAACCUGGGAAUGGCGAUGGAAACUGUGCAACUAGAGUGUGACAGAGGGUGGUGGAAUUCCUGGUGUAGCAGUGAAAUGCGUAGAGAUCAGGAGGAACAUUCGUGGCGAAGGCGGCCACCUGGGUCAACACUGACACUGAGGCACGAAAGCGUGGGGAGCAAACAGGAUUAGAUACCCUGGUAGUCCACGCCCUUAACGAUGCGAACUGGAUGUUGGGUCCAACUUGGGAUUCAGUAUCGAAGCUAACGCGUUAAGUUCGCCGCCUGGGGAGUACGGUCGCAAGACUGAAACUCAAAGGAAUUGACGGGGGCCCGCACAAGCGGUGGAGUAUGUGGUUUAAUUCGAUGCAACGCGCAGAACCCUACCUGGCCUUGACAUGCACGGAACCUUUG
rnacentral:rRNA from 1 species